AUGAAGAUGGAAACACAACUUUAAGGAAGAUAUCUUCAGCUUCAAAUUUCAUUUGGUCAGAUUCUCCUCUGGAGAUCCUUGGUUCAGUCACUUCUAUAACCUUUACUGAUGCAGCUGAUAAACCAAUCAAGGAUCAUGAUCUAACAACUCAAGAGGUCAAAUCUCUAUGCGAUGAUUUAAGGGUUUUGGGGAAGCAAGAUUUCAAGCAUCUUCUAAAGUGGAGGAUUCACAUUAGAAAAGCUCUUUCACCAACUCAGAAGCAUGAUCCUCCUACCACUAAA